rnacentral:rRNA from 1 species
GACGAACCGUGCGAACGUUGUUCGGAAUCACUGGGCAUAAAGGGCGCGUAGGCGGCUUGUCAAGUCAGGGGUGAAAUCCGGCAGCUUAACUGUCGAAGUGCCUUUGAUACUGAUGAGCUAGAGGGAGAUAGGGGUAUGCGGAACUUCCGGUGGAGCGGUGAAAUGCGUUGAUAUCGGAAGGAACGCCGGUGGCGAAAGCGGCGUACUGGAUCUCUUCUGACGCUGAGGCGCGAAAGCUAGGGGAGAAAACGGG